UAUAUAGCUCCUCACAGAGACAGUGCCCAAAGGGGACUUGGAAUUUUGCCCAGGAGGCCUGCCUGUGGCCUCCAUUUGACUGGGGCAGCCUAGGAAUGAGUCAGAAACAGCCCCUCCACCCUUCCCCAUCCCUGCCCCUUCCUCGGAAGCUCUUUGACUAGAUUAGGGGUUGGCAAACUUGGUCCAUAAAGGGCCAAGAGUAAAUACUUUAGGUUUGUGGACCACAUGGUCUCUGCUGCAGCUAUUCAACUCUGCUUUGCAGCAAGAAAGCAGCCAUAGAGAAUCUGCAAAUGGAUGAGUGUGGCUGUAGCCCAAUACAACUUUACUUUUGGAACUGAAAUUUGAAUUUCUUGUAAUUUUCACAUAUUACAAAAUAUCAUUUUUUUGGUGUGUUUUUUCAAUCACCUGAAAACAUAAAAACCAUUCUUAGCUCAUGGGCUCUACAAAAACAGGCAACAGGUUAUACUUUGCUGACCUCUGGAUAGUGCUCCUUGGAAAAAUGUAACUGCUUCAUUACCAGGGCCCCGGGGAGAAGAACCAUCACACAGCUUGGGAAGAGCCACAGACUGCUCCCUGGACCUCCAAGUGGAGUCCUCAUGAUGGAGGCUUCAUGGAAAAAGACGCCCGGGACAGACUUCCCAGCAAAACCACUUGCUAAGUGAGUUCUUUUCUGACACGGCCACACCUGGCCACAGGUCACCUGGAUCACAGCACUCAGCAGGGCCAAGCAGGUCUGCAGGGCCUUCCCCUGCCUCUUUUAUCAAACCUCACACUGGGUGUCCCACCUGGGGCAGGCACGUCUCUUCAGUUUCCUCUGUUCUGCACCCAAUGCACUAGCACGCAUGGGUGGGCGCUUUACAAAAGCAUCUGAACACACAGAGGAGCUUCCAUCCCCUCUGCAUAACUAUAAUCAGGGAAACCAAGGGAAAAGGCCCAAAUCUCAGAGUGGAAAUUAUGUUUCUAAGGAAACAUUACCACCCCCACUUAUGAUUUUAAAAUGUACUACUAAUAAUGAGGUAUUGUUUCUACUUAUUGAGUCAAUAAAAUAGCAACAACAACAAAAAAAUAACACCCAAUCCCGCAGAGGCAGGCUGAGGGAACUGCAGACCAGCCAAUCCUUCCAGAAUGUAAUUUGGUGUAAGUCUCAAGAGCCAUCAAAAAAUGUAUGAACCAUCUGCUCCAGUAAAUUCCUUCCCUGGAAACUUAGUCGAAGAAGAUAACUUCAAAACCAAAUAAAAAGAUUUUGAACAAAAAUAUCGGUUUACUAUGUAUAAAGUCGGAAAUAAUCAAGUGUCUAACAAUUGAAGGGUUGAAUUUUUUUUUAAUUUUUUUUUUUUUUAAUUCUCAUGCAAGGACAUUUUUCCAUUGAUUUUUAGAGAGAGUAGA